rnacentral:rRNA from 1 species
CAAUAGCGUAUAUUAAAGUUGUUGCAGUUAAAAAGCUCGUAGUUGGAUUUCGGGGCAGACUGGCUGGUCCGCCGCAAGGCGAGUACUGGUCAGCCGCCCUUCCUCUCGAAAGCCCCGACUGCUCUUCGUUGCAGUGGUCGGGUAGUUCGGGACGUUUACUUUGAAAAAAUUAGAGUGUUCAAGGCAGGCCUACGCCUGAAUACAUUAGCAUGGAAUAAUGGAAGAGGACCUCGGUCCUAUUUUGUUGGUUUCCAGGGCCGAAGUAAUGAUUAAGAGGGACAGUUGGGGGCAUUCGUAUUUAAUUGUCAGAGGUGAAAUUCUCGGAUUUAUGAAAGACGAACAACUGCGAAAGCAUUUGCCAAGGAUGUUUUCAUUAA